rnacentral:rRNA from 1 species
AAACUUUCAACAACGGAUCUCUUGGUUCUGGCAUCGAUGAAGAACGCAGCGAAAUGCGAUAAGUAAUGUGAAUUGCAGAAUUCAGUGAAUCAUCGAAUCUUUGAACGCACAUUGCGCCCUUUGGUAUUCCGAAGGGCAUGCCUGUUCGAGCGUCAUUAC